CAGCCGCCGCGGUAAUACGGAGGGUGCAAGCGUUAAUCGGAAUUACUGGGCGUAAAGCGCACGCAGGCGGUCUGUCAAGUCAGAUGUGAAAUCCCCGGGCUUAACCUGGGAACUGCAUUUGAAACUGGCAGGCUGGAGUCUUGUAGAGGGGGGUAGAAUUCCAGGUGUAGCGGUGAAAUGCGUAGAGAUCUGGAGGAAUACCGGUGGCGAAGGCGGCCCCCUGGACAAAGACUGACGCUCAGGUGCGAAAGCGUGGGGAGCAAACAGGAUUAGAUACCCCUGUAGUCCCUGUCUCUUAUAC
rnacentral:rRNA from 1 species